UACGAAGGGGGCUAGCGUUGCUCGGAAUUACUGGGCGUAAAGCGCACGUAGGCGGGUUCUUAAGUCGGUGGUGAAAUCCUGGAGCUCAACUCCAGAACUGCCUUCGAAACUGGGAAUCUUGAGUCCGGGAGAGGUGAGUGGAACUGCGAGUGUAGAGGUGAAAUUCAUAGAUAUUCGCAAGAACACCAGUGGCGAAGGCGGCUCACUGGCCCGGUACUGACGCUGAGGCACGAAAGCGUGGGGAGCAAACAGG
rnacentral:rRNA from 1 species